rfam:Gossypium arboreum cultivar AKA8401 contig_4112_1, whole genome shotgun sequence.
AAACCAUGAUGAGGGCACUUUCUUAAUAAAUCCUUAUAUCUCUCUCGUGCAUCAUAAAGUGUUUCUAAAUCCAUCUACACAAAAGAGGAGAUAUCAUUCCUCAAUUU